CUCGUAGGUGGCCAACUAAGUCGGACGUGAAAUCCCUCGGCUUAACCGGGGAACUGCGUCCGAUACUGGUUGGCUUGAGUUUGGGAGAGGGAUGCGGAAUUCCAGGUGUAGCGGUGAAAUGCGUAGAUAUCUGGAGGAACACCGGUGGCGAAGGCGGCAUCCUGGACCAACACUGACGCUGAGGAGCGAAAGCCAGGGGAGGCAAACG
rnacentral:rRNA from 1 species